rnacentral:rRNA from 1 species
GGUAUGGGAUGAGCUUGCGUCCGAUUAGCUAGUUGGCGGGGCAACGGCCCACCAAGGCGACGAUCGGUAGCCGGCCUGAGAGGGUGAUCGGCCACGUUGGGACUGAGAUACGGCCCAGACUCCUACGGGAGGCAGCAGUAGGGAAUAUUGCACAAUGGGGGAAACCCUGAUGCAGCAACGCCACGUGUGGGAAGAAGCAUUUCGGUGUGUAAACCACUGUCAUGAGGGAAUAAGGCCCGUUUUCGGACGGGAUUGAAUGUACCUUGAGAGGAAGCACCGGCAAACUUCGUGCCAGCAGCCGCGGUAAUACGAGGGGUGCAAGCGUUGUUCGGAAUUACUGGGCGUAAAGGGAGCGUAGGCGGAGAUUCAAGCGGAUUGUACAAUCCCGGGGCCCAACCCCGGCUCUGCAGUCCGAACUGGAUUUCUUGGAUAGUUCAGGGGCAGGC